UGGUUUGCAUGGAGAAACUACACUAUAUUUGGAGAUCAAAAAACUGGCAGAUGAGUUCACUAACUCAUCAGUGAUUGGAUUGGAUUUGUAGCUCAUUUCGAGUAAAGGGUUUGUGUUGGAGGAUGUGAAAGGUCCGAAUUAUGAUGUGGCUUCCCUUGCAGCAGCCAUAACUAAUGGAGAACAACAGAGUGAUGCAGCUGAGGUAUAA
rnacentral:lncRNA from 1 species